AGAGUUUGAUUAUGGCUCAGAAUCAACGCUGGCGGCGUGCCUCAGACAUGCAAGUCGAACGAGAAGGUCCCUUCGGGGGCCGGAAAGUGGCGCACGGGUGAGUAACACGUGGGUAAUUUACCUUCGGGUGGGGAACAACAGCCGGAAACGGCUGCUAAUACCGCAUAAUGCAGCGGCACCUAAUGGUGACAGUUGUUAAAGCGGGGGAUCGCAAGACCUCGCGCCUGAAGAGAAGCCCGCGGCGGAUUAGGUAGUUGGUGAGGUAAUGGCUCACCAAGCCUGCGAUCUGUAGCCGGCCUGAGAGGGCGGUCGGCCACACUGACACUGAACAACGGGUCAGACUCCUACGGGAGGCAGCAGUCGGGAAUUUUGGGCAAUGGGCGCAAGCCUGACCCAGCAACGCCGCGUGAAGGAUGAAGUUUUUCGGAAUGUAAACUUCACAAGAAUGGGAAGAAUAGGUUUCAACUAAUACCUGAAACGAUGACGGUACCAUUUGUAAGCUCCGGCUAACUCCGUGCCAGCAGCCGCGGUAAUACGGGGGGAGCAAGCGUUGUUCGGAUUUACUGGGCGUAAAGGGCGCGUAGGCGGCGUGACAAGUCACUUGUGAAAUCUCCGGGCUUAACUCGGAACGGUCAAGUGAUACUGUCGUGCUAGAGUGCGGAAGGGGCAACUGGAAUUCUUGGUGUAGCGGUGAAAUGCGUAGAUAUCAAGAGGAACACCUGCGGCGAAGCGGGUUGCUGGGCCGACACUGACGCUGAGGCGCGAAAGCUAGGGGAGCGAACGGGAUUAGAUACCCCGGUAGUCCUAGCCUUAAACGAUGAAUGCUUGGUGUCCGGGGUUAGAUAGUCCCCGGGUGCCGUCGCUAACGCUUUUAGCAUUCCGCCUGGGGAGUACGGUCGCAAGACUGAAACUCAAAUGAAUUGACGGGG
rnacentral:rRNA from 1 species